AUGGAGCAUCACUCAGCCCCAAGGUGUAUAGCCUUCUUCCUCCUCCCUCUCCUGGCCAGCGUACAUUACGCUCAGGCAAACCCUGGUCGUGGCUCGAUCCACUCCAUCUUCAGCUUCGGCAACUCGUACGCCGACACCGGCAACUUUGUCAAGCUCGCAGCGCCACUGCUUCCGAUCAUCCCUUUCAGCAACCUCCCCUAUGGGGAGACCUUCUUCGGUCGCCCCACUGGCCGAGCCUCCAACGGCCGCAUCAUCUUGGACUUCAUUGCCGAUGAGUUUGGGCUCCCUUUCGUCCCCCCGAUUCUCGGUGAAGAACAUAACUUCACCCGUGGAGCAAACUUCGCUGUCGUCGGCGCUACGGCGCUUGAUCUAUCCUACUUCUACGAGAACAACAUCACGAGUGUGCCCCCUUUCAACAGCUCCUUGAGCGUGCAGCUCGGCUGGUUCCAGAAGCUCAAGUCCACCUUGUGCUCAACACCACAAGGUUGCAGAGACUAUUUCAGGAGAUCCGUCUUCUUGAUGGGAGAGUUCGGAGGGAAUGACUACACCUUCAUCAUGGCUGCCGGGAAAACCUUGGACCAGGUCGCGUCAUUCGUGCCGGAAAUCGUACAAUCCAUCUCAGCAGGCGUUGAGGUAUAUAUAGUACUACUAUAUAGUUCCUCCGUACGGAAUUAGUGAACGCUCAAUCAGAUGUAUCAAACGGUUUUGCAGCAACUAGUCAAGGAGGGAGGGAGGUACGUGGUGGUGCCGGGGCAGCCGCCAAUGGGGUGCAUUCCCAUCGUCCUAACCUUGUACGCCAGCCCGAACAAGAAGCACUACGACCGGACCGGGUGCCUGAGGAAAUACAAUGCCCUCGCGCGCUACCACAACAGUUUGUUGGAAGCCGUCUAUCGUCUCCGGAUCAAGUACCCCGCGACCAAGAUCGUCUACGCCGACUACUACACGCCGGUGAUGGAGUUUCUCAGGGAACCCACAAGAUUCGGGUUUAGUGCCUCGUCGAGGCUCCACGUGUGCUGUGGCGCGGGCGGGCCGUACAACUACAACCUGACGGCGGCGUGCGGGUUGCCCGGCGCAAGCGCGUGCGCUAACCCCGCCACACACAUCAACUGGGACGGCAUCCACCUGACGGAGUCUGUAUACAGGCUCAUCGCCACCGGUUGGCUCUGGGGCCCUUACGCGCACCCGCCUAUUCUCAAGGCCAUGCCAGGAUCUCUGGAUCUCAGGACAUCUUCAGUAUCAGAAAUCAACACGUUCAGUUACGCUAGCUCCUGA
rnacentral:rRNA from 1 species